CUUACUGAGAAGUCCAGAAGGAGUUUGGAUUGCCUCCAGAAGUCUAGGAAGAAGACUGAUCAGCUAGAGAGGACCCGGAAGAGUGUCGACCGGCUGGACAGAGUGCAAGCUGCAUAAUCUUUGGCUUCAUAUAAAUUUCAUGAUCUUGGUUAUGUAGGAAAAUUUUUCUGUGCAUUUUACAUGUUAUCCUCAUCAUGCAAUUUUUCUAUUUGACUCCAAUCCUGUAAUUUGUUUAUGGAAAUUAAUUAAACAAUGGGUGGAAGCAAAUAAAUCUUGAUGUAUUAGAAAACUUGUUUUUCCUGUUUAUUGUUUGAUAGACUUUGAUAGACUUGGUUCAAAUAAUCAAUCCAAAGUCUGGUUAGCUU
rnacentral:lncRNA from 1 species